AAUGAACGCUGGCGGCAUGCCUUAUACAUGCAAGUCGAGCGAUCGGACGCGUAGGUUUCCUCACUGAUGUUAGCGGCGGAAGUGAUACUACGAAACGGGUACACUAGCUAUAGGAAUGGGAUCAAAUCGGGUACUAAUACCUCAUGCGGUCUAAUAUUUUGAGCGGGAUGGUUCAAAAGUGAAAGACGCUCUUCCCGUCUGUUACAGCUGGAUCCACGCUGCAUUAGUUAGUUGGUAAGGUAACGGCUUACCAAGGCAACGAUGCAUAGCUGACCUGAGAGGGUGACCAGCCACACUGGGACUGAGACACGGUCCAGACUCCUACGGGAGGCAGCAGUAGGGAAUCUUCCACAAUGGGCGAAAGCCUGACGCAGCAACGCCGCGUGAGGGAAGAAGGUCUUCGGAUCGUAAAACGCUUUUAUUAGGGAAGAAAAUAUUUUGAAUAAACUGUGGAGAUCAUGACGGUACCUAAUCAAAAAGCAACGGCUAACUACGUG
rnacentral:rRNA from 1 species